rnacentral:rRNA from 1 species
UACGUAGGUGACAAGCGUUGUCCGGAUUUACUGGGCGUAAAGAGCGCGCAGGCGGUCGUUCAAGUCGAGUGUGAAAGCCCCCGGCUCAACUGGGGAGGGUCAUUCGAUACUGAUCGACUCGAAGGCAGGAGAGGGUAGUGGAAUUCCCGGUGUAGUGGUGAAAUGCGUAGAUAUCAGGAGGAACACCGAUGGCGAAGGCAGGUCUCUGGGCAUUAACUGACGCUGAGGAGCGAAAGCAUGGGGAGCGAACAGG